rfam:Candidate division WWE3 bacterium RIFCSPHIGHO2_02_FTLL_38_14 rifcsphigho2_02_scaffold_237, whole genome shotgun sequence.
UGGGGGAUCGUCUAACGGUAGGACGGCGGGUUCUGACCCCGUUAAUCUUGGUUCGAAUCCAGGUCCCCCAG